UAUGAUCAUAUCACAUUGAAACCCCAGUUCUUGUCCGAUCACUGGUUAAGCAAUGUUGAGCCUGGUCAGUACCCAGAUGUGUGACUGCUUGGGAAUACCAGGUGCUGUAAG